UGAAGCUGCUAAGUUUGUGAUAAUUCAUUUCACAGCAAUAGAAAAUUAAAUAUAUAUAUAUAUAUAUAUAUAUAUAUAUAUAUAUAUAUAUAUGUGUGUGUGUGUGUGUGUGUGUGUGCCCAUGUGUGUGUAUACACACACGCACACACACGUGUGUACACACACACACACACAGGCUGGGUUGUAGCUCAGUGGUUGAGUGCUUGCCCAGCACAUGUGAGGCACUGGGUUCAA
rnacentral:sRNA from 1 species